UUGGCAGUCUAAACCUCGCCUCUAGGAGCUUAGGGAAGUGCUGGCAAAUGCAGGGCAUGAACCAGACGACUAUGCAGAGACCAUCGAGGCGGCCAAACAGUCCAUUGUCCACAUAACCAGAUCCAGAUUGCCAAGUUUUCUGAAGGGGAAGCUGACAUAAAUCUUGGAGAUUAAGAAUGAAUUAUGUAUGCACUACAGAUGUUGUUCAACGUCUUUUCAUGAAGAAGCCUGCUCAAAAAACAUUACUGAUCAGCAACCCGAAAGAAAAGUUUGAAUGAGAUGGAAUUAAUUCAAU